rnacentral:rRNA from 1 species
AACGCGAAGAACCUUACCUGGGCUCGAACGGCUUAAGAACAUCUUUGGAAACAGGGACUUCCCGCAAGGGACUUGAGUCGAGGUGCUGCAUGGCUGUCGUCAGCUCGUGUCGUGAGAUGUUGGGUUAAGUCCCGCAACGAGCGCAACCCUUGUCCUGUGUUGCCACUCCCGUUAAACGGAAGCACUCGCAGGAGACCGCCAGCGAUAAGCUGGAGGAAGGUGGGGAUGAUGUCAAGUCAUCAUGGCCUUUAUGUCCAGGGCUACACACGUGCUACAAUGGCCGGUACAAAGCGCUGCAAACCCGCGAGGGGGAGCUAAUCGCAAAAAACCGGUCUCAGUUCGGAUCGCAGGCUGCAACUCGCCUGCGUGAAGCUGGAAUCGCUAGUAAUGGUGUAUCAGAACGAUACCGUGAAUACGUUCCCGGGCCUUGUACACACCGACGCAC